GUCUGAUUAGAAAAUACAAUCAGUCUAGCCUGCCCACUGAAUUCUUUAAAGGGCCGCAGUAUCAUGACUGUGCGAAGGUAGCAUAAUAAUUAGUCUUUUAAUUGAAGACUUGAAUGAACGGCUGAACAAAGAAUUUUCUGUCUCAAUUAAUAAAUUGAAAUUAACCUCUAAGUGAAAAGGCUUAGAUAAACUAGAAGGACGACAAGACCCUGUAAAACUUUAUAUUUUUCAAAGUAUUAUCAUAAUUUAUUUUAGUAACUUAAUUUUGCAUUGAAAAUAUUUCAUUGGGGUGAUGGAAGUAUAAUUUCUUAACUGCUUCUUACUUUAAACAAUUAUAAUUGAAUUUUUGACCUUAAAUUUUAAAUUUCAAGAAAAAGUUACUUCAGGGAUAACAGCGUUAUCUUUCUUAAGAGUCCAUAUCUACAGAAAGGUUUGCGACCUCGAUGUUGAAUUAAAUAACCACAAUAAUGUAGCAGUUAUUGAUGUAGGUCUGUUCGACCUUUAAAAAUUUACAUGAUUUGAGUUCAAACCGGUGUGAG
rnacentral:rRNA from 1 species